rnacentral:rRNA from 1 species
CCCUUAGACGUUCUGGGCCGCACGCGCGCUACACUGACCAGUGCAACAAGCAUCCGUCCUUGGCCGACAGGCCCGGGCAAUCUUUGAACGCUGGUCGUGAUGGGGAUAGACUUUUGCAAUUUUUGGUCUUCAACGAGGAAUUCCUAGUAAACGCAAGUCAUCAACUUGCAUUGAUUACGUCCCUGCCCUUUGUACACACCGCCCGUCGCACCUACCGAUUGAAUGGUCCGGUGAAGCCUCCGGAUUGGCGCGCACCUCGGUGCCGCCGAGAAGUUGGCUAAACCUUACCUUUUAGAGGAAGGUGAAGUCGUAACA